rfam:Hordeum vulgare subsp. vulgare, WGS project CAJW01000000 data, contig: morex_contig_2553817
UAUAUACUCCCUCCGUCUUAAAAUUCUUGUCUUAGAUUUUGUAGAUAUAGAUGCAUCUAUAUACUAAAAUGUGACUAGAUACAUUCAUAUCUAGAUAAAUUCAAGACAAUAAUUUUAAAACGGGGGGAGUAGUUU